AUAUAUUUAUGCAAUAUUAUGGUAGUAGAAUAGCAUGCAAGGCAAUCUAAAAAUAUCACAAUAGCAGAAUAAAAUAAACUGAAGCAAAACAAAAUAAUAAAAAUAAACUACUAUAAAUUAUUAUGAAGAACGCAAGCAGUGACCGUUGCAGCUUACCGUGUGACGAGCGUCACACACGCCAUCACGGUCGUCACACCAAGUGCUUGUGACGCCCGUAAC
rnacentral:lncRNA from 1 species